rnacentral:lncRNA from 10 species
GCCUGGUUCAGACUGGGCUUGGGAAGUGAGUCAGGGCCUGACUAUAUGUGAUAAAGAGAAGCUCCUUGCUUUUAAAGGACAGUAAGGGGGUCGUCUUACACUUAGCAGCCCGGACAGAAUUGAUUUUUUUACAGACCCCUCUGUGGGCGAGUGCCUUUUAUGAAAAAGGCAAAAAUAUUUAAUAAGAAUGAAACCCCCUGAAUGGUCCCGGGUCCUAUCAGAAGCGGGAAGUCCCCUUUUUAAAUGGUCGCAGGCAUCUCCUUUGAUCACACGAUAUCACUGAACAUGCAGUCCUCACACCCCCAACUUCAUUCUCAUCUCAUUUUUCUCCACGGUGCAUGCCAGCCUCUGACACGUGGUGGCCCUCUCUCGAGGGGGUGCUGGUGCCUGACUCCUUUGGACACCCUGUGAAGGCAGGGCCAGACAGGUCGCAAGGGAAAACCAUCGGUCAAGGUGAGUGUUGCAGGCGCCCUGGAGGAAGGCACCGUGUCACCUGCUGGCCCAAGGGCUUCCAGAAUUCCAUGAAUUACAACAGGGAAUGCAUCUGCCAAGCAUCCUAGACCCACGUUUCUGGCCGGCACAGCCUCGCCCUCUGUGGAAAUCAGCAUGAGAGGUGCCACACAGAGGCUGCCUGGAGAGUGGGCUGAACAGGGGGAAGGAGUAAUCCCCCAUGGCCGUCUCCACCCUCACAUCUCCAUCCCUGCCACGUGGGGCCUGGGGUCUGGGCUGCUCUCUGGAUAGCCAGGGCUGUGCUAGGCGCUGCUCAGGCUGGGCUCUCUGAUGGCCCCUAAGAUGUCAGCAAGACCUACCCAUGACACCGCCCAAGCCCAGGGCCUGAGGACGGGAGCCUUGUCCUUCCAGAGCACCGGCUCUGGGGCCUGUGCAGGUGGUGCCCAUCUCUGAGUCUCAGGGUUCUCAUCUGUGCAGUGGGGACAUCAGUGGUGUCUGCAGGACAGGCUGUAGGAGGGUGAAGUUGAAAGCAGGUCUGAGCUGCCAGAGGCCCUGGGUCUGGCCCGCCACACACCUGGGGAGUCAGGGACUGCCUGUCCCCCCAGCAGCUGCCCUCCAUGCCCAUGUGCUGGCCAGAGAACCCUGGUCAGGGGCUGAGACAGUGGUGUGCUGGUGGUCACUAAUACUGACCGUCAUUAAACGUUUAGGAAUGCUGACAGCCAUUGUUACAAAUUAAAUUCUACAAACUGAUGAUUAAAUAAAUUGUAUUAAAAACAAAGGUAGUGAAUAUUCCACUCCCUGUCCUUCCUGGUUGCCUUUCUGCAUCGUCUGUGCUCUUACAGCGACGUCUGCUGCUGGGUCUGUGGUGAAAAUGCUGUAUGAGGCUGUGCUACUGCUCUGCCUGCAGUGACGUCUGGGGACAGCUGCAAAUGGGCACAUGUGGAAGCCAGAGGACUGACUGUCAACCUGUCACCGGAGUGGGCCUGGAUUCCACGGCCAGGGGAGGGGCCGCCAGCCUGGGAUGCAUACAGUCCUCACAGCUCUGGGAGCUGGCUUUCAGGGACUCCUCCUGCAGGGUUCUGUGGGUGCUGCUCUAUGCUCUCUCUCCUUCUGCUGAGGCAUAGGGCUUCUCUACUCGCCCUGGGCCAGAGGAGCCAGGCAGCUGGGCAGCGGAAGGCUCGGGUGCCCUGGACAGGCGUCUGCCUAGCACUGGCUGGCCCGGCCCAGCCAGACGCCUGCUGGCUCAUCCGCACAGCCACCCUGUGGGUGAGGGCUUGGUCUGUUCGAGGGAUGGGGGACCGAGGUUCUGGGAGGGGCUUGCCAAGUCCUGGCAGUCAGCAAAUGGCAGGCAAGGACCUGAGCCCCUCCACUGGAUGUGAGGUCAGUGCUGCCCCAAGCACCUGGGGCUGCCUUCAGUGACAGGAGCAGCGUGGUGAUGUGGGGAGAGGUUCAGCUGGAGGCAGCCACACCACGCAGGACGCUAGGGCAUGGUCCAGGAGCCCUGCACUGGCUGACAUGCACUCCUGAAGUUCUGCCUUUAGAGACUGAUCCCUCGCAACACCCAUCUGCCCUCUCCUUGAGUCCUCCUCCCACGCGCGCGUCCCCAAGAAGAUAAGCAUCAGGGCACCAACGUGCUACUCAAGGUCCUGGGGGCAGCAGCAUCAAGGGAAAGGAGACCAGCAGGCAGAGCAUGGCUGUGGGUGACCUGAAACAGCCACCACUCUCUCCCCCUGGAACCCCGAGGGCCAAGGGAGCAGGAGGGCCUGGCCCUGAGCAGCCUCCCUUCUGCAGAGAAAGGCAGGCAUGGGUGGGCAACACUGGGGCCAGACAGAUGGGGGUGGGCUGGUCUUGGGGGCUCAACUUGGAGGGCAGGGCACUGCCUGACAACGUGGGCAUCAUGCAGAGGGCCGUGCGAGGGCAGCUCGUGGAAAGCGCCCAGAGUGGAGCGCUGGCCCUGGAGAGCAAGGGAUGCUCACGCACGCUGCAACCCGGAUGAACCUCAAGGACAUCGUGCUGAGUGAAAUAAGCCAGACACAAAAGGCAUGGCCUGCAUGAUUCCACUCACAUGAGGCACCUGGAGUAGUCAAAUGCACAGCCGGGAAGUAGAAUGGCAGUUGCCAGGGGUUGCAGGGAGGGGAGUUAGUGUUUAAUGGGCACAGGGUUUUAGUUUUGCAAGAUGAAGGGUUUUGUGGAUGGGUGGUGGUGAUGGUUGCUCAACAGUGCUAAUGUGCUUAAUGCCUCUGAACGGUGCACUUAAAAAUGGUUAAUGGCUGGGCGAGGUGGCUCACGCCUAUAAUCACGCUUUUACCAGGCCCAGGUGGGAGGCUGUCUUGAGGCCAGGAGUUUGAGACCAGCCUGGGCAACAUAGUGAGACCUCAUCUCUACAAAAAAAAAUUUAAGAAUUAGCUGGGCGUGGUGGCACACUGGUAGUCCCAGCUACUCAGGAGGCUGAGGUGGCAUGGGAGUGGGAGGGGUGGUGGGGUGCUGGGGGGUGGGGAGGUAGUGCAGUGCAGCAGAGCAGGGUGUGGGAGGGUAGGGGGAUGGAGGUGUGUGUGUGUGUGGAGGGGGGAGAAUCGCUUGAGCCCAGGAAUUCAAGCUUGCAGUGAGCUGUGAUCCAGCCACUUGAAUUCUUUUUAUUUUUUUUAUUAUUUUUAAAUUAUUUUUUAAGACAGAGUUUCGCUCUUGUUCCCCAGGCUGGAGUACAAUGGCACGAUCUCAGCUCACUGCAACCUCUGCCUCCUGGGUUCAAGCGAUUCUCCCGCCUCAGCCUCCCGAAUAGCUGGGAUUACAGGCAUGCGCCACCACGCCUGGCUAAUUUUGUAUUUUUUAGUAGAGACGCUGUUUCUCCAUGUUGGUCAGGCUGGUCUUGAACUCCCGACCUCAGGUGAUCCGCCUGCCUCAACCUCCCAAAGUGCUGGGAUUACAGGCGUGAACCACCGCGCCCAGCCCAGACUCUUGAAUUCUUAAAGCACAGCUUGCCUUAGGGGCUUCAUAAUGGCCCUAGGGCCCCUGGGGCAUCACCCACAGGGUGUGAGGACCCUCCCCUCACCUCCCUCUCUCCCUGCCUCACUUCCUUCUUUCCUCCCUCCCUUCCCUUCUCAACUGAGCCCCCUACUCAGUGCCAAGCCCUGGGCGCCCUGCCUGGAGGAGUGGGCAGAAUGAUGGGAAGGCAGGCGAGUGUGCUGCAACAGAGGCGAGCCAUGGGCUGUGAGGCAUUGCAGGCAGACAGCAGAGGCAGGAAGCAGGCCUUCCUUCUGGGAAGCAGGAGGAGCCCGGGGAGAGUUGCUAGCUGUGGCCUUCUCAGCCCAGGCCCUCUAGCAACUUGGGGUUUGAGGGUCAAACUUCUUUCUUUAGGUAGGUGAGGAUAGAUGUGGAGGCCUCAGAACCCUGAGUUCAAGUCUGAUCUCAGCUUCUUGCCUACUGCGGUAGGGCAGUCGCUUCUCAGUGACUCAACUUUCCCAGCCACAAGAUGGGUCCAGGAAGAGCCGCUUGGGGAGCAGCGGGGCCGGGAGGAUGGGGUGAAUGACUGCCUGGCUGUGGGUAUCUGCAGCUCCUGCUGGCAAUCCUUCUCACCCGCUCGGUCUCCAGCCAGGGGACAGGGACCUGGGGUCCACACCUCAGCCUGAGGUCCAAGGCCAUCCUCGGAGGAGGCCCCACAUUCGUCCCCCAGGUUGGUGCCCACGCCUGCCCUGGCAUGAAGCCACCCUUUCUCAGGAAGUCCAAGUUACUGAAACAGAUAAAUCAAUCUGUCAAGAAGCCUUGGAGAAAGAAUCUCUCAACUCGCUCAGCCAAGAAGCUCAAAAGGCGAAUUGUUCCCAGAGAUGAAGAAGGAAACAACAGACACCUUCUUCCCAGGCUCUGCCUGCGGCUCUCGAGGCCCUGCCCUCCUCCCCCUGCCCCCAGAGAGCACCUGUAGGCUCAGGGCCAGCCCAGGGACAGGCAUGGCAGCCCCUCGCUGGCUGCUGGGGUGGCGCCCAAUUCCAGAGCCCUGUCUGGGGAAGGAGAGGGCCGAGAGCCACUGUUUGGCUCCUGUCCCAGACCUGACUGGGAGACCUUCUGAAAAACUCAGCCUCCUGAUCAACAGAGGGCAGAAGACCUGAGCCACUGGCCUCCCCAUGGAAGAGGCACUCAGAGCGGUAUGAGGAGUAGUGCUCACCCUGGACAAACUCCCGGAGUCAGUGUGACCGUCGGAGCUGGAGGCUGGGGUGAUGGGGGCCAGGGAAACCAAGCAAUGGCCCCGAGGUAGUGAGGAGUCUCUGGAGGCCAGAUACCCUCAAGAUGGAAAAGGAACAUCCUUGGAGGAUUGGGGUGGCUUCUUCCUGGAGGGAGGAGGGACACAUGCCGGGAUGACAGCCAGCUCUGCCGCUGACCAGCUGUGUGACCUUGUGAAAGUCACUUGAUCUCUCGGCGCAUCAAUUUCCUCAUUGUUGCCUGGGCCUCUUGUGAGAUCUUCCUCAUGGCUUGCAGUGAGGAUUGAAUGAGUCGAUCUGUGCCCCGUGGCCCGGGACAUGGUGAGCAUGUGGUAAUGGCAGCCGUUUUAUCCUGUAGUGUAAUAACGGUGUGCAGCUAGACGUCACUCUGGGCACCUUUUCUCACAGAACUGUCACUGCCGUGCUGCAGGAUGCGGAUGGUUGUCUUCACUCUCCAGAUGAGGAAACUGAGGCUCAAGGAAGGGCGGAGCUGCCUGAGGCUUGACAACUCUGCAGUCUGCAGCUGUGAGAGGGGGCUCUUUCUAGCCACACAGCUUUCCCUGGUUCUCGUGCGCUCUGUGAGCAGGAGGACGGGAAGGGCCGCAGCCGCUGAGGGAGCAGGAGGGGUUCGAUGCAAGCCCAGCUCCCAGCACGGGAAAGCCAGGUCAAGAAACACACGGCCUCUGCUGUGGGGCUGAUCACAGCUUUGUCAAAGAGGAGAUGUGGGAGGGGGGAGGUGAAGGGAGCAGGAAGAAAUGAAUGUCAGAAACAUAAAUAGCCCUGGAACUGAUGGACAGUCUGAGAUCUCUGCGCAGACCUGGGCGCCUGCAGGCUGCCACUCAAACCUGAGCAGAAGGGUGAACCCGCCCUCACCCCACUCCCGGUUCCCUACACGCCCCAGGAAAGGGCUGUUGUGAGCGGAAGGCAUUCGUCGAAAACUGGGAAGGUUGCCCAAGAAAGGCAGAGCGGGAAGCCCUCCGUGGGCAGCAGAACCGGGUGAGUCAGCCCGUCGGAGGGUCCCCCAUGUGGCAGGAAGGGGAGGCACAGGGACUGGGCUCGGCCACCUGGAAACACAGGGCGAGGUGGGCCGCGGGGGUGCAACAGAGGCCCCCUAACUUCCCAGGGGAAAAAGCUCACCACUGUCAGGGACAUGAAAGGACUGUCAAAGAGCCAUGAAACCAGCUACGGGGAUUGGGAAACUUCAGACUCACUUCUGUUUGUUUUGUGACAACAUGGAAGCCACAGAUGUUCUCUCAAGAAACAAAAGAUAAGCAGACAAUCCUAGAAGCUUUUGGAGACUGAAAAAGUCACACCAUGAGGAUCGAGAAUCAGAAUGGCAUCGGACUGCUUAACAUCAACCUAGAACACCACAUGCCAAUAGAGAACUGCCUUCAGAACUCUGAGGGGAGAUGAUUUCCAACUGAGAUUUAUACCUCCAGCCAAACUGUCAAUCAAUUAUCCAAAAACUGAACUCCCAUAUGCAGCCUCCAAGGAAGCUACUGGCGUGUAUAUUACAACAAAAUGAAGGGAGUAAAGCAAGAAAGAAGAUGACUUAGUAUCUAAGAAACAAGGCACCGACACAGGACAGAGGGAAAGGGAAUUCCCAGUGUAACGUUGAAGAGAAAUUUCACAACUUCUACUACAAUGGCCAGGAGAGCAACUGAUCCAGGUAGAAGCAGGAGGGCUCAAAGAAAAAAAACAGAACUGAUAGGUUGCCAGAUGUGUUUGACUAUAUUACGAGAAAUUUUAGAGUUUUAUUGUCACGGUUUGUGGGAAGAAUUAGUAAUCUUACAUCAAAAACUAAUUAAAUUUAAAAACUGAGGUACUUACUAACUCCAGGGAAAACAAAAAGCUGUACAAGACUGCAACUGUAACCAUAAUAUAGUCCCUUGUUUAGCUGUGAAUAAUCUAUAUGUAGAUAUGAUACGGUAACAACUGAGUGUUGAUUUAGCAACUGUGAUAGGACUAUCUUGGAAGAAAAAGUGUGUGUUUGUGGAUGGUGGCUGGUGGAGAACCAGCAAUCUUCCACAGGAGGAAGCCAAUACAUAAUAUUUGAAAAAUACAUCUAGAGAACGAUAUUUAGAAAUAUGAAAGGAAAUGUCAGAAG